rnacentral:rRNA from 1 species
GAUGAACGCUGGCGGCGUACCUAAUACAUGCAAGUCGAGCGAACAGACGAGGAGCUUGCUCCUCUGACGUUAGCGGCGGACGGGUGAGUAACACGUGGAUAACCUACCUAUAAGACUGGGAUAACUUCGGGAAACCGGAGCUAAUACCGGAUAAUAUAUUGAACCGCAUGGUUCAAUAGCGAAAGACGGUUUUGCUGUCACUUAUAGAUGGAUCCGCGCCGCAUUAGCUAGUUGGUAAGGUAACGGCUUACCAAGGCAACGAUGCGUAGCCGACCUGAGAGGGUGAUCGGCCACACUGGAACUGAGACACGGUCCAGACUCCUACGGGAGGCAGCAGUAGGGAAUCUUCCGCAAUGGGCGAAAGCUUGACGGAGCAACGCCGCGUGAGUGAUGAAGGUCUUCGGAUCGUAAAACUCUGUUAUUAGGGAAGAACAAAUGUGUAAGUAACUAUGCACGUCUUGACGGUACCUAAUCAGAAAGCCACGGCUAACUACGUG